CCUGGCAUCAGGUAACUAUUAAAGUUCCGGCGGUGGGGGAUGAGCGUGCGUCCCAUUAGGUAGUUGGUAGGGUAACGGCCUACCAAGCCGACGAUGGGUAGCUGGUGUGAGAGCACGACCAGCCACACGGGCACUGAGACACGGGCCCGACUCCUACGGGAGGCAGCAGUGAGGAAUAUUGGUCAAUGGGCGCAAGUCUGAACCAGCCAUGCCGCGUGGAGGAUGAAGGCCCUCUGGGUUGUAAACUUCUUUUAUCAGGGAAGAAACCACCGAUUUCUAUUGGUGCCGACGGUACCUGAUGAAUAAGCACCGGCUAACUCCGUGCCAGCAGCCGCGGUAAUACGGAGGGUGCAAGCGUUAUCCGGAUUUACUGGGUUUAAAGGGUGUGUAGGCGGGCUUUUAAGUCCGUGGUGAAAUCCCGGGGCUCAACCUCGGAACUGCCAUGGAUACUAUUGGUCUUGAAUACCGUUGAGGUGGGCGGAAUACAUCAUGUAGCGGUGAAAUGCUUAGAUAUGAUGUAGAACACCGAUUGCGAAGGCAGCUCACUGGACGGUUAUUGACGCUGAGGCACGAAAGCGUGGGGAUCAAACAGGAUUAGAUACCCUGGUAGUCCACGCCCUAAACGAUGAUUACUCGACAUUGGCGAUACACAGUCAGUGUCUGAGCGAAAGCAUUAAGUAAU
rnacentral:rRNA from 1 species